CCUCCUUAGAGCCAAGAUCAGAGGCGUUUCAUGCGAAGGGAAUGGCAAGUAUUCGAGUCCUGAGUGAAGUGCCCAGCGGGAGAUGAAGGCCACUUCCCACAGGCAGUUCUGGGGGCUCUGGCCCCUUGCCCUUGCCUUCCACACACCCUUUCUCCAGGAAACAGUUUCCAUGGAAAGAAAUCUGAGCAAACCUGUUGGGGAGGUCAUGCAGAGAGAAAGAGACCCUGGAGGAUGGGAAGGCACAUAGGAAAGAACCAAGGCACCCCAGUGGACAGCCAGCAGCCAAACAUAAGGUAAACAUGCCCCAGAGAGGUCCUACCUCCACAGCCCAAGUCCAAGAAUGAAGAAGACAUGGAGCAGAGUUGAAUAAUGAACAAAUAAGAUGAG
ensembl:lncRNA